AAGUCGAACGAGCUUCCGUUGAAUGAUGUGCUUGCACUGAUUUCAACAAUGAAGCGAGUGGCGAACUGGUGAGUAACACGUGGGGAAUCUGCCCAGAAGCAGGGGAUAACACUUGGAAACAGGUGCUAAUACCGUAUAACAACAAAAUCCGCAUGGAUUUUGUUUGAAAGGUGGCUUCGGCUAUCACUUCUGGAUGAUCCCGCGGCGUAUUAGUUAGUUGGUGAGGUAAAGGCCCACCAAGACGAUGAUACGUAGCCGACCUGAGAGGGUAAUCGGCCACAUUGGGACUGAGACACGGCCCAAACUCCUACGGGAGGCAGCAGUAGGGAAUCUUCCACAAUGGACGAAAGUCUGAUGGAGCAAUGCCGCGUGAGUGAAGAAGGGUUUCGGCUCGUAAAACUCUGUUGUUAAAGAAGAACACCUUUGAGAGUAACUGUUCAAGGGUUGACGGUAUUUAACCAGAAAGCCACGGCUAACUACGUGCCAGCAGCCGCGGUAAUACGUAGGUGGCAAGCGUUGUCCGGAUUUAUUGGGCGUAAAGCGAGCGCAGGCGGUUUUUUAAGUCUGAUGUGAAAGCCUUCGGCUUAACCGGAGAAGUGCAUCGGAAACUGGGAGACUUGAGUGCAGAAGAGGACAGUGGAACUCCAUGUGUAGCGGUGGAAUGCGUAGAUAUAUGGAAGAACACCAGUGGCGAAGGCGGCUGUCUAGUCUGUAACUGACGCUGAGGCUCGAAAGCAUGGGUAGCGAACAGGAUUAGAUACCCUGGUAGUCCAUGCCGUAAACGAUGAGUGCUAAGUGUUGGAGGGUUUCCGCCCUUCAGUGCUGCAGCUAACGCAUUAAGCACUCCGCCUGGGGAGUACGACCGCAAGGUUGAAACUCAAAGGAAUUGACGGGGGCCCGCACAAGCGGUGGAGCAUGUGGUUUAAUUCGAAGCUACGCGAAGAACCUUACCAGGUCUUGACAUCUUCUGCCAAUCUUAGAGAUAAGACGUUCCCUUCGGGGACAGAAUGACAGGUGGUGCAUGGUUGUCGUCAGCUCGUGUCGUGAGAUGUUGGGUUAAGUCCCGCAACGAGCGCAACCCUUAUUAUCAGUUGCCAGCAUUCAUUUGGGCAUUCUGGUGAGA
rnacentral:rRNA from 2 species